AUGGCAUCCAACCAGAACCAGGCGAGCUACGGCGCCGGCGAGGCCAAGGGCCACUCCCAGGAGAAGGCCGGGCAGGCGAUGGGCGCGGCCAAGGACAAGGCGUACGAGGCCAAAGACCAGGCAGCGGGCCUGGCGGGGCACGCGUCCGGGCAGGGGCAAGGCGCCACGGAGGCCUCCAAGCACAAGGCCGGCGAGGCCACCGACAAGGCGUCCCAGACGGCGCAGGCCGCCAAGGACAAGGCCUCCGAGACCGCGCAGGCCGCCAAGGACCGCACCGUCGAGAGCAAGGACCAGACCGGCAGCUUCCUCGGCGAGAAGACGGAGAUGGCCAAGCAGAAGGCUGCCGAGACCGCCGAGGCGGCCAGGCAGAAGGCGGCGGAGACGGCGCAGUACACGCAGGACAGGACAUACGACGCGGCGCAGUAUGCCAAGGAGUCCGCCGUGGCCGGCAAGGACAAGACCGGCAGCGUGCUCCAGCAGGCCGGCGAGACGGUGGUGGGCGCCAAGGACGCCGUGGCCAACACGCUGGGGAUGGGCGGAGAUGGCACAGGCAACAACGCCGCCACCAAGGACACCACCGAGAGGAUCACCAGGGAUCACUAG
rnacentral:rRNA from 1 species